GCAGUCGUGGCUGAGCGGUUAGGCGAACGCAUCUGAAGCGUGACGCACCUAUAUGUGAUACGUGGGUUCGAAUCCCACCGACUGCC